rnacentral:rRNA from 1 species
AUUGAACGCUGGCGGCAGGCCUAACACAUGCAAGUCGAGCGGAUGAAGGGUGUUUUCUUCUUGAUUCAGCGGCGGACGGGCGUGUAAUGCCUGGGAAUUUUCCUUCUAGUGGGGGAGAACUUCCGGAAACGGGCGCUAAUACCGCACACGUCCCGAGGGAGUAAGUGAGGGUGCCUGGGUGCCCGCGCUAUUAGUUGACCCUCGUUGGGAUUAGCUAGUUGGGGGGGUAAAGGCGUACCAAGGCGAAGAUCCGUAACUGGUCUGAGAGGGUGACCAGUCACUCUAGAACUGAGACACGGGCCAGGCCCCUACGGGAGGCAGCAGCGGGGGAUGUUGGAGCAUGGGCGAAAGCCUGAACGAGGCCUGCCGCGCGUGUGAAGAAGGUCUUCGGAGUGUAAAGCACUUUAAGUUGGGAGGAAGGGAAGUGAGUGAAUCCCUUGCUGUUUUGCCGUUCCCUAUAGAAUAAGCCCCGGCUCACUUCGUG